rnacentral:rRNA from 1 species
CCUACGGGGCGCAGCAGUGGGGAAUAUUGGACAAUGGGCGAAAGCCUGAUCCAGCCAUGCCGCGUGUGUGAAGAAGGCCUUCGGGUUGUAAAGCACUUUCAGUGGGGUAGAAAGCCUUGGGGCUAAUACCCUCGAGGAAGGACAUCACCCACAGAAGAAGCACCGGCUAACUCCGUGCCAGCAGCCGCGGUAAUACGGAGGGUGCGAGCGUUAAUCGGAAUUACUGGGCGUAAAGCGCGCGUAGGCGGUCUGAUAAGCCGGUUGUGAAAGCCCCGGGCUCAACCUGGGAACGGCAUCCGGAACUGUCAGGCUAGAGUGCAGGAGAGGAAGGUAGAAUUCCCGGUGUAGCGGUGAAAUGCGUAGAGAUCGGGAGGAAUACCAGUGGCGAAGGCGGCCUUCUGGACUGACACUGACGCUGAGGUGCGAAAGCGUGGGUAGCAAACAGGAUUAGAUACCCCGGUAGUC